CCCCCUGCCCGGGGGCGGGGGCGGGGCGGGGCGGGGGCGGGGGCCGCGGCGGCCGGGCCGCUCCCGCGCUCGUCCUCCCGCCCGGGCCCCGGCCCCGCGCCCCGCGCCCCGCGCCCCGCGGCGGGGACGGGGCCGGGGCCGGGGCGGGGGGCGGGGGGCGGGGGCCGGGGGGGCAGGGCCGCCGCGCCUCCCCGCCCCCUCCUCCGCGGGCCUCCGGAGCGAUUUGUCAAACUUCCCAUUCCGCCGGCGGCGCGGUCCUCCUCCUCCUCCUCCUCCUCCUCCUCCUCCUCCUCCUCCUCCUCCUCCCCCGUCGCCACCUCCUCCUCCCGGCCUCCUCCUCCCCCCGCGCUCCUCCUCCCCGCGCCUCCCUCGCCCGCCCUCCUUCUUCCCUCCGCACGUUCGGGGAUCGCGGCGGAGCGCGGAGAGGGGGGGACGCGGAGAGCCGGGGCGCAGCAGCAUCCUGCGGGCGGCCGCUCUCCGGGGGGGAGGCUCGAGCCGGCCCGCCUCGCCCCCCCGCGGCCCGCCGCCCCUCCCUCCCGCCCUCUCCCCAGCCCGGCAGCGGCGGCGGCGGCGGUGGCAGUCGCCGGAGGAGCAUCAUGCCGAGGAGGAAGCAGCAGGCGCCCCGGCGCGCAGCAGGUACGAGCCGCUUCCCCUUCCUCCCGCGCCCGCUCCCGCGCCCGCGCCCGCUCCCGCUCCCGCUCCCGCUCCCGCCGGCGCCCGGGCCGCCGCUGCCCGCGCGGAGUAACUCCGGGGCGCGCGGGGCUCGCCGGCCGCCCCGCUCCGCUGCGCCCGCCCCGCGCCCCGGGCGCCCCGCCGCGCUCGCCCUGCCCGGCCCGGCCCGGCCCGGCCCGCACCCACUUGGAGCGGCGCGCGCGCUCGGGGCCGGCCGCCUCCCUGCGCCGGGGCUGCGGGGCGGCCUCCCGCGGGGCGGGGGCGGGGGCGCGGGCGGGGGCCGGGCCGGGCCGGGCCGGGGCCGGGGCGCGGGCGGGGUCACCUGAGUUCCCGGGACACCUUCCGCGCCCUGCGGCGGCGGCGGCGGCGGGGCGCAGCCGGGUGCGCGCGGAGCGCCCGGGAGCCAGCCGGCGAGUGAGCGAGCGGUCCCCUGGCCACCUUCCUGCUAAUCCGAUUGAUUCUUCAUUUAUUGGGCCCGACGCGGGCAAGCGGUGGAAGCCAGAGCGCACGGGGUCUGGGUAUUGUCAGAUGACUGUCAAGCCCGCCUCGGAGGCUGGCGUCCCCUCUGCCCGCGUGUGUUUUCCCUGA
rnacentral:lncRNA from 1 species